UGAGUAGAGGUUGCACUGUCUAAGAGUAUGCGGCGGGAGCUUGAACCCGAUGAUCGCCGCAAAAAGGAGCCAGUGCCGAAGUAGCCAAGCCGUCAGGCACCGCUGCUGGGGGCAUUUCAAACAGGAAUGUCACUGCCAUAGUCUGAGCAAACUAUGGAGCGCUACUGA
rnacentral:ncRNA from 1 species